AACUACCUACAUUAUAAUUUGACCUAAAAAAUUUGCCCUACUCAAACCCUAUAGGCUUGAACCAUAAUUCCAAGCAUUAUAAAUCAUGGGUGAGCUCAAGCGGGCUUAGUGGGUCAUUGUGCUUCCCUCUAUCUCCUCUCCCUUCUAUUUGCCUCCUCCUCUAUUCCUUUCCCAGAUUUCUUAACUUCAUCUCAUGAAGCCCCUUUCAUCUUCCGCCUCCAACUAACACUUUCCCACCCAUUCUUAUCUACCACUACCAUGAUCCACCUUCAUUCUCAACCAGCACCCAUCUUUACAACACAAACACUCGCUACAGCUACCCAACCAUCAUCGCUACUCCAUUCUCUCACUCUAUCCCACCAUUCUCUUCUAUAAGACCAACACUUACAAAACGCUAACCUGGUAGCGACCACAGGAAUCGCUCACCUCCACCAAUGUAAAUUGCAAAUUACAUGCAAAUCGCUCUCCUUCAUUAGCUACGGUAACAAUUUAAUGGGAAUUUUGUUGUGGACAUAUGGAUUUGCAAAAGGCGACAAAUGGGUGAGUUUUAGACGGCGGUUGCAAAACAGUGAGAUGAUAUAUCAAUUCUACAGUAGGAACAUAUAGAGAUUAGAUUGACGCAUAGAGGAAAUGAAAGUAGCUGUGCCAAUGCAUGCAAUGCAAUUAUAGAGUGGAGGUGUUGAGGUUUGGCGAUGUCAAGUGUUUGUUGCAAAGUAAUACACUCCGUAAGUUUUGGUCGAAUUCAUAAAGUUUAUUUGUAUAUACCAUUUUAUAUUAUUAGAGUACAAUGAUAAGGUAGUGUUUAUCAUCAUUAUUUUCUUAAUCAUUAUUUUCAAACUAGGGCAAAAUUUGAAUAUCCAUUUAAACAGUGAAAAAAAUAUCAAUGACAUAUCUUUCUUUUUUAUUUGAAUAUCUCUAAAACUAGAGAAAUUUGAAGAGAAAGGAGUUAAUAGUUGUCAAUUUUGCGUUCUUUCACUUCUUUUUUUAUUUUUAUUUUUUCCCUUUAUUUUUUCUUCAUAAAAAAGAGAAGAAGAUAAUACUCCAUUAUUUUCUCUCAGAAAAGGCUACAUUGUGCACCUCCAAUAGGGCGCAUAUGAUAUCCCUUCAAAACUUUUUCACAAAAUUAUACAAAAUUUCGUAACUAAACCACAAAAUAUCAUAAUUAUUUUCAUCACAAUAAUCAAAACUUUUUUUUUUUAUCACAAAAUAUUAUAACAUAAAUCACAAAGUAUUAUAAUAUUACCAUUCAUAACUUUAUAGUGCAUAUCACAAAUUCAUAAUUCGUAAUUUUCACAAAAUAUCAUAACACCACAAAUAUUCAUAACUUUCACACAAAACAACAUAACUUUCAUACAAUGUGCACAAUUUUUAGGGUGGAUGGCGUAAAUUUAUCAAUUUCUCUUUUUUCUUUUCUCCUAAAUUGUCUAAAUAAUAAAAAAUAUAUACCACUAACCUUUUUUUUCUUUUGUUGUUUUUGCCCUGCAGCCUAUUCUCAAAAUUUAAUUCAAUCAAGUUUCUUCAAAAAAAGACAAUAAAAUUUUUAAAUAUGAUGGAUGUCUUCUACAUAAAUUUGAAAAAAUUCACUUCUUUGGUUGUGGUGUUGCCUUGCCAGACACGAGAAAAGUAUUUUUGUACUAGGGCUACAUAUCCGGAAUAAUCUCACUCCAACUGAUAUUAUAGCGAGCCAGUCAUAAAUCAAAACUAAAAAGUAUAUUCAAGGGCAGCACUACCAUUACAAGUGGUAUAUGCAAUUGAAUGGCUGAUCUUGCAAAAUGUUUAUUCACAGAAAAGGGUAUUUAUUCAUAUGAUGGAGGUAAGACUUCAAACAUGUCUAGUAGGAUUACAUAUCAUAAAAGCAUAUUUAUUCUUAUUAAGAGUUCAAAUUUUAAAAAUUACUGCAAAAAAACAUCAAAUCACUAUUUAUGGCUUGAUGCAUACAAAUUUCAUUCAGGAAGGAACAGAACGUGGUUCACCUUUUUUUUCUGACAACAAAGAAAAAAUCUCAAUUUUCAGUAAGCCUCAACACAGCUUCCAUUUAUUUUGCAUCACAUAGUUUGCAAAAUUUUGGGGAAAAAAUAAAAUCCUCAACCUUACCUAAGAGAAAUUUA